rnacentral:rRNA from 1 species
CUGAACCAGCCAAGUAGCGUGAAGGAUGACUGCCCUAUGGGUUGUAAACUUCUUUUAUAAAGGAAUAAAGUCGGGUAUGGAUACCCGUUUGCAUGUACUUUAUGAAUAAGGAUCGGCUAACUCUGUGCCAGCAGCCGCGGUAAUACGGAGGAUCCGAGCGUUAUCCGGAUUUAUUGGGUUUAAAGGGAGCGUAGAUGGAUGUUUAAGUCAGUUGUGAAAGUUUGCGG